rnacentral:rRNA from 1 species
UACGUAGGGGGGCAAGCGUUGUCCGGAUUUACUGGGCGUAAAGAGCGUGUAGGCGCCAGACAGGUCCGUUGUGAAAACUGGAGGCUCAACCUUCAGACGUCGACGGAAACCGUCUGGCUAGAGUCCGGAAGAGGAGAGUGGAAUUCCUGGUGUAGCGGUGAAAUGCGCAGAUAUCAGGAAGAACACCGAUGGCGAAGGCAGCUCUCUGGGACGGU